GUGCUGGCAGGAGCCUGAGCCCAACGAUAAACUCUGGCAUCAGCUUCCCUUCAUCCGGCAGUGAGCGAGGACACAGUGAGGGCGUAGGGGCAGAGGGACAGGGAUGGAGAAAGAGUGACAGAAAGAGAGGGAAGUGUGAGAGAGAGGCAGAGAGAGACAAACCAGGCCGAUAGACAAAGAGGGAGAGGCUGUCAUAAGAAUCACACAGCUCCUUUUUCACAGUAGCAGCUCAGUUGAUCUGUCUGCUGCCUCCCGAUGCAGGCGAAUGCUGAAGGGGAUGACGGGUGGUGUGUUACGGCAGCAUAGCUAUCUGAGUGAUGGUAGCGGCCGCAGCAGCAUCACAAUCCGAAGCAGGGGCUCUUCUUGCCACUCUGGCUCUUAGUCAUCUUCGGCGUCCGCUCUCCCUUCUCAGAGUGCUAUCAGGGCCAUUCAUCGUUCCCAUCUCAUGCCUCCUGCCUCCUCCUCCUCCACAGCUUCAUCCUCCACUUCUACUCCUCCUCUGAUGAGCCACAGCCUCAGAGUGAAAUAACCCUGCUAAUAGAAGCUUCUCCCUCUGUCAAGACAGUGCCAUGUGUGAUUGGCCAGCAUACCCUGUGGCAGUGGCAUCGCCCUGGAUUUGGCGAGAAGCUCUCCCCCCUGCUUGUUCUCUGGGGCUCCUUUGGGAAGCUUUCAUGGGAUUUAUCUUGUCCUGCUGGAUGGCACGGAGCUCUCUGCCUCUCUGAAAAGAGUCCACAGAGAAAACAUACAUUACACGGAUAAGAAGUAAAAUAAUUAUCCAAUCACAGCACAAGCAGGCAGACCGGGUUCCCUUAGCAACAACUGAAGGAGACGAGAGAAUCCUUUUCUCUUUCUGCUCCUUUGGUUUUUGGGCACACCCCUGUGGACAGCUGUGGGUCAGUCUUUUGAGAAAGGACUUCAAAAACAUUUUUACAUAAGACAAGCUAUCACCGAAAUUCCAGAGGAAGGUGCUCAUUUGCCUUCAAGUCAGCUUGUUACUGUGUCUCAUUGGCACAAUGAGUUUUUUGUUAUGCCUCCACAAAUUCGCAUCGCAAGUCACACUGCACUGGCUUAGAAAUCACUUCAUUUUGAU
ensembl:lncRNA